GGAAAGGAGGGAGAUCAGAGGGCUAGAGGAAGGAGCUGUGCAAGCCGGAUCCUGUAUUCCAAUCAAUUCACAGGGAUGCCAGAGCACACUUGUACCCCCCUGGAUCUGCCCCUGUUGGCCGGUGCACCCCACUAGCAGUUAUACACUGAAUUUCAAUGGAGUGUGAAAGAUAUGCAGCUGAAGAUUUGAUCCCACACAUUUCUCAGAAGAGACUUGCACUUGACAAUGCAAUGCAAAGUCAUUAAUGCUAAAGUUAUUAAACUAAAACCCUAUCAGAGCUAUAAUUCACUAUGAAAUAAAAUAGAAACCUUGUCUUGGGCCAGGUGAAGCUGUCCUUCACAUUGGUACAAAUUGGAGAUGACCGGGGUAAUCCCUCUGAGAGAUGAAUUGGAUUCCGCCUCUUCCUAGCACCUGUGGGAAUUCACAGGUGUUAAGUUAGAAAAAGAAAGGCUCCCCUGUUGAUCCCCAAUGAAAAUGCAACAAAAACAUAUUGAGAACGACAAAUUCAAAAAUGGAAUAUAAGGUUAAUACAGUGCAUGGAACAGAGCUUGUUUCAUAAUCCAUAGUAAGGCCUACAGACGGCUCAGGCAGAAAUGUCAUACAAAUUACAUUUAAUUUACUACAGACCAUGUUUUGAUUUUUUCCUCCUGGUUUCAAGAAAAGGGUUCUGUGGGAGGGGGGAAAAAAUCCCAUGAAAAUUUGAGCUGUGAACAUCUUCAUAAAUAUGUGACCCAUUACAAAUGUUAUGUGUGUUGUGAUGUAAAAAUAAAGGGCUGUGUAAAUGAAACAUCUAAAAGGGAUACAUUCAAUGCCUAGCAUUUAACAGACAUAUUAAUGUGUCCUUGUAAGAUAUGAAGUGACAGUGGGUUCAUUAUGUUCAGCGCUGUUCAUAUAAAAGGACACCAACAUUGUGCCCAGGAUUGGUUACUAAUAGAUCCCGUUCUUUAACUGGGUGCAGAUUAUUCCUUUUCUACAUUUAUCCUGCUUGCUUAAUUAUUAUGUCAGUCAAUCAGGUAAUAAUAUCUGAAAGGUUGGCUUUAUUCCACAUUUAGACAAGCACAUGGUUAUUGAACAUAAGCAGCUGCCUUCAGUCAGACCACUGGUCUGCCUAACGAAAUACUAUUUAUCAUGACUGGCAGCAGCUCUCUACCAAAGCUUAUUCCUAACUCUUCACCCUGAGAUUAUUUUACUAGAAAGGCUGAGAGAGUGAAUCUUGAACCUUAAACCUUAUGCACAAAAAACAGACAUUUUACCCUUGAAUUAUGAGCUGUCCUCUUCUAGUCACACUCAUAAAUGAUCUGCCAACGAUAAUGGGCCGCUUUUUAAAAAAAGGAGUUGCAGGCCUUUGUUUAGAGAGGGUGGCACAAGAAUGGGGGUCUCAUGUAUCUUGGUCAUCCUAGUGAACAUUUCUAACUCCGAUAGGAUGAUAAGAAGAUGUCCAACAACCAGACUAAGACAGCUCAGGUGCUAUGUGAGAAGCAGUGAUAUUCCCAAUGAUUUUGACUAACUCAGUAAUCGCAGGUGAAUUUCAGGUGAAUUUCAGUAGAUUCCCAUUCUCUUGGAAAUGCUCUGUGCCUCAUGCAAAUAUGUCACUGAGCACUGCACAGCCUUCAAGGACAUAUUUUUGUGUGACACAGAGCACAUCUGGGGAAUGGUGAAGUCACCAAAAUCCCUCCCCCACACUAUUCAAGCACUGGUGGUGUAUAAAUGGGGAGAACCAGUGCUUCUCACAUAGCACCAACGUUUCCUCAGUCUGGAUGUUAGUCAGUAAUAAUACUAGCAACCAUGUCUUUUAAUAAGACUGCUUUUAUAUUGUUAAAUUCUACUGUUUUGAUCUAAAUGAUUCAAGCUUCCGUCGAUCAAAUAAAAGAUCUUUAAAUCAUA